GAUGAACGCUGGCGGCGUGCCUAACACAUGCAAGUCGAGCGAACGGACGAGAAGCUUGCUCUUCUGAUGUUAGCGGCGGACGGGUGAGUAACGCGUGGAUCACCUACCUAUAAUACUGGGAGAACUUCGUGAAAAAGGAGCUAAUACCAGAUAAUAUUUUGAACCGCAUGGUUCAAAAGUGAAAGACGCUCUUGCUGUCACUUUUAGAUGGAUUCGGACUAGCUUAGCUAGUUGGUAAGGGAACGGCCUACCAAGGCAACGAUGCAUAUCCGACAUGAGAGAGGACUCGGCAACACUGGAACUGGACCACGGUCAGAACUCCUAGGGGAGGAGGCGGUAGGAAAUCUUGAGAAAGGGGCGAAAGCCUGUCGAAGCAACGCGGCGUGGUUGAUGAAGGUCUUCGGAUCGUAAAACUCUGUUAUGAGAGAAGAACAUAUGAGUAAGUAACUGCGCAGAUCUGACGGGUCCCUAAUAAGAAAGCCCGGGCUAAUUACGG
rnacentral:rRNA from 1 species